GACGAACGCUGGCGGCGUGCUUAACACAUGCAAGUCGAACGCUGAAGCUCAGCUUUUGUUGGGUGGAUGAGUGGCGAACGGGUGAGUAACACGUGAGUAACCUGCCUCCUUCUUUGGGAUAACGCCCGGAAACGGGUGCUAAUACUGGAUAUUCACUGGUCUUCGCAUGGGGGUUGGUGGAAAGGUUUUUCUGGUGGGGGAUGGGCUCGCGGCCUAUCAGCUUGUUGGUGGGGUGAUGGCCUACCAAGGCUUUGACGGGUAGCCGGCCUGAGAGGGUGACCGGUCACAUUGGGACUGAGAUACGGCCCAGACUCCUACGGGAGGCAGCAGUGGGGAAUAUUGCACAAUGGGCGCAAGCCUGAUGCAGCGACGCCGCGUGAGGGAUGGAGGCCUUCGGGUUGUGAACCUCUUUCGCUCAUGGUCAAGCCGCAACAAUGGUUGUGGUGAGGGUAGUGGGUAAAGAAGCGCCGGCUAACUACGUG
rnacentral:rRNA from 1 species